rnacentral:misc_RNA from 1 species
GAAAUGCGAUAAGUAAUGUGAAUUGCAGAAUUCAGUGAAUCAUCGAAUCUUUGAACGCACAUUGCGCCCGCCAGUAUUCUGGCGGGCAUGCCUGUUCGAGCGUCAUUUCAACCAUCAAGCCCCCGGCUUGUGUUGGGGACCUGCGGCUGCCCGCAGGCCCUGAAAAACAGUGGCGGGCUCGCUGUCACACCGAGCGUAGUAGCAUACAUUCUCGCUCAGGGCGUGCUGCGGGUUCCGGCCGUUAAACGACCUUUAUAACCCAAGGUUGACCUCGGAUCAGGUAGGAAGACCCGCUGAACUUAAGC